GACGAACGCUGGCGGCGUGCUUAACACAUGCAAGUCGAACGGAAAGGCCCUGCUUUUGUGGGGUGCUCGAGUGGCGAACGGGUGAGUAACACGUGAGUAACCUGCCCUUGACUUUGGGAUAACUUCAUGAAACUGGGGCUAAUACCGGAUAGGAGCUCCUGCUGCUUGGUGGGGGUUGGAAAGUUUCGGCGGUUGGGGAUGGACUCGCGGCUUAUCAGCUUGUUGGUGGGGUAGUGGCUUACCAAGGCUUUGACGGGUAGCCGGCCUGGGAGGGUGACCGGCCACAUUGGGACUGAGAUACGGCCCAGACUCCUACGGGAGGCAGCAGUGGGGAAUAUUGCACAAUGGGCGGAAGCCUGAUGCAGCAACGCCGCGUGCGGGAUGACGGCCUUCGGGUUGUAAACCGCUUUCGCCUGUGACGAAGCGUGAGUGACGGUAAUGGGUAAAGAAGCACCGGCUAACUACGUG
rnacentral:rRNA from 1 species